UAGCUGGUCUGAGAGGAUGRCCAGCCACACUGGAACUGAGACACGGUCCAGACUCCUACGGGAGGCAGCAGUGGGGAAUAUUGGACAAUGGGGGCAACCCUGAUCCAGCAAUGCCGCGUGUGUGAAGAAGGCCUGAGGGUUGUAAAGCACUUUCAGUGGGGAGGAGGGUUGAUAGGUUAAGAGCUAAUUAAUUGGACGUUACCCACAGAAGAAGCACCGGCUAACUCCGUGCCAGCAGCCGCGGUAAUACGGAGGGUGCGAGCGUUAAUCGGAAUUACUGGGCGUAAAGGGUGCGUAGGUGGUUUAUUAAGUUAUCUGUGAAAUCCCUGGGCUUAACCUGGGCAGGUCAGAUAAKACUGGUAGACUCGAGUAUGG
rnacentral:rRNA from 1 species